AAAGGAAAAAAGCGUUGCACGACACGAUAAAUUACAUUGAAAAAAGAUACAAUUUAUUUUUUACGCCAAAUGUGAUGCUAUCCAAAAUUUCUGGGGAGAACACUGCAGAUGGCAUGGAGGAGUGAUAUCUUACCUACCCCAGCUAAAUAAGGCUCAUUACUUUGUGGUGAACAUUGACCAAACUUGUUCUUUGUCAUUCAGUUUUUAUACGACCGCAAAAUAAAUUUUGGGAUUGUAUAUUGGUGUCGUAAUUUCUGCUUCUUGCUAUGUUUUGAUAUAGUUAUAAAACCAGCAAAUACGAAUAUCUCAUAAAACUAGUAAAUACAAGGGAUAAUAAAUAAAUAAAUAAAUACGGACGUCAAAUAUUUUGUCUGUUCUCUCUCAUCAUUGGUAGCGUGAAUAAAUGAUCAAUAGUUAAAAUGAUACUU
rnacentral:lncRNA from 1 species